rnacentral:rRNA from 1 species
UACGGGGGGAGCAAGCGUUGUUCGGAUUUACUGGGCGUAAAGGGCGCGUAGGCGGCCACCGCAAGUCGAUUGUGAAAUCUCCGGGCUUAACCCGGAAAGGUCAACCGAUACUGCGGGGCUAGAGUGCAGAAGGGGCAACUGGAAUUCUCGGUGUAGCGGUGAAAUGCGUAGAUAUCGAGAGGAACACCUGCGGCGAAGGCGGGUUGCUGGGCUGACACUGACGCUGAGGCGCGAAAGCUAGGGGAGCGAACGGG